GUGUAGUGUUAGCGUAGUUAUACACAGGUGUAGCAUAGUUAGCAUAGUGGAGGACAUCCAAUUGGAUGAAGAUAUGUUAUCGUUACAAGCGACGUUGAAGCCUUAUAUACCUCCAUCCGUCACCAUGACGGAUUACGUGCGGGUGGUGAAUUCCUCUGGAUGUCGGGAACUGAAAGAAAUGUUGGUGAGUUCAUCUUGGAACUCCUCAAUUUUGCCUUGUCCCACAAUUUCUUUCUUUUUAAAGAUGCAUUUUAUUUACAAACGCAAGGAACCGCGAUGGGCGCGGCUUGUGCACCCUCGUACGCAAACUUAUUCUUAGGGGCUUGGGAGCGAUCCAUCUUUACUACUGACCCCAUUCCCCAUAUAGAGAAAGUACAAAUUUGGGCCAGGUUUAUUGAUGACAUUGUUUUUGUUUGGAAGGGUCCUCUUCCGGAACUACAGUCCUUCAUGGAGUUGCUGAAUAUGAAUUAUUUUAACAUCAAGUUGACAUACAAGGUGGGCAGACAUCACAUGGACUUUUUGGACGUCUCCUUCGAUGUUGACAAUAUGGGAUAUUGCAUUUGAACAUCGGGCUGCUGAACUUUGGACCAGGUUCUCCGAAAGGGGCUAUAAAGAAAAUUGGAUCAAGGGGGCCUAUUUGCGAGCAAAGCAUACCAGUAGGAGGAGUCUCCUUCAGACAAGACAGAAGGAUAAGAGUGAUAAUCAGGGAUGACGACCCGUGAACUGAAAAAAACGUGUCAGAGAACAUGUCUUAGGAGUGACAGCAAGACAAGAAGUGGAUCUUUCACGCCUGACCACAAUACCACGCCAUUUCAAAAUUCAUCAUGAUUGUGACCCCAGCCAACUCCAGAUUCUUCGUGGUUCCCUCCGUCUCCAUCUAUAUUGACCUCCUCCUACCUGCCAUGCAUCCAUAUGUCCAUUCCUCCUCGUGCUAUAGCUGUUAUCAAUUAAUUGUUUUGCGCAUUAUUGGGCAUCAUGACCGCUAUUUUACGGUCGCACAUAUUAUA